rnacentral:rRNA from 1 species
AUUGAACGCUAGCGGCAUGCUUUACACAUGCAAGUCGAACGAGUGGCGGACGGGUGGGUAAUAUAUCGGCACGUGCCCAGUAGAGGGGGCUAACUACUCUAACACGUGGCUACUACCGCAUACUGUUGUAUCGGCCGAUAUCGGAUUAGCUAGUUGGUGGGGUAAAGGCUCACCAAGGCAACGAUCCGUAGCUGGUCUGAGAGGACGACCAGCCACACUGGGACUGAGACACGGCCCAGACUCCUACGGGAGGCAGCAGUGGGGAAUGUUGGACAAUGGGGGAAACCCUGAUCCAGCCAUCCCGCGUGUAUGAGAAGGCCUUCGGGUUGUAAAGUACUGUUGGCAGAGAAGCGGUAUCUGCAGAAUAAGCACCGGCUAACUACGUGCCAGCAGCCGCGGUAAUAC